UUUUGGCACCACACGCAGUUAACGUAAACCUUGCUAAACAAUCAGGAUACUAAGGGUCCUUCAUGUCAGGAUAAAGUGGAUGCACCUACUGAGUUCAUUAAACCUAAGCGUUCGAGUCGCGC
rnacentral:lncRNA from 1 species